GGGGAAUCUUGGACAAUGGGGGCAACCCUGAUCCAGCGAUGCCGCGUGAGCGAAGAAGGCCUUAGGGUUGUAAAGCUCUUUCGCCCACGACGAUGAUGACGGUAGUGGGAGAAGAAGCCCCGGCUAACUCCGUGCCAGCAGCCGCGGUAAUACGGAGGGGGCUAGCGUUGUCCGGAAUUACUGGGCGUAAAGCGCGCGUAGGCGGUCCACCAAGUCGGGGGUGAAAGCCCGGGGCUCAACCCCGGAAUGUCCUCCGAGACUGAUGGACUGGAGUUCGGGAGAGGAGAGCGGAAUUCCCAGUGUAGAGGUGAAAUUCGUAGAUAUUGGGAAGAACACCGGUGGCGAAGGCGGCUCUCUGGCCCGCAACUGACGCUGAGGCGCGAAAGCGUGGGGAGCAAAC
rnacentral:rRNA from 1 species